AAAGCUGUCUCAAUGUCGUUUCCUCCCGUGCCGCCCAUAAAUCCGCCAUAAUGUUGGUAAGAUGAAUGCAUUUCUGCACCUGCUGGUAGCAGCAGAAGCAGGACCGUAAUACAAAGCACAGCCAUUAAUUGUAAGCUUUGAGCAGAUGACAUUUUUUUUCUCUUCUGCCACGACAUUUACGAUGUGUAAAAUUAAUUAUUGCCAAUUGCAGAUUGAGGUGGUUGCUGCUUGUGGGUUUGUACGGUGCACUGACUAACGUAGGUGCAGACAGAAAUGCCUGGCCUUGGUGUUUGGGGAGGCCAGAAGACUUACUUUGACACUACAUGUUAUAACACGUAAGCUUAUCAACGAGUUGUGAUCGGACGAGUUUCUUUUCACAAUAAUGUCGUGUACUAGAUCCCUUUGGAUUGUGUUGAAUCGUAACGCAUUCAGCUCAACCCACGCUUGUCAAAGAGGGAGAAGAACAGCAAGAUCUAAAAUGAAACACCUUACUUCCUAGAAGGGCGACAGAAAGGCAUUCACGUGGGCAUGAAGGUACCAACACCGCAAUGUCACCGAGGUAUUCGUUCACAUAUGUUUCGUUUUCCAUACCUGAAAUGCAUACAGGAAAGCAGCAAGCAACUCCGAUGCUACUCCAUGUGUGUGCAAGACCUGUGGUCGCCUUUCAAAGCCUGACGAUGAAUUCCUCACUCGCCCUUUUUCGCCGGGGUAUUCCCUUGGGGUCUGGGGCUCGCUGUAAUACCUACUACUACUACUAUCACCUGGCAAAAGGGUUUUAAGUGUAGUGUCGCAUAUGCGUGCUAGCUUACGUAGCCAUGGAAUGUUUUAAAUCUGGGCAGGGUUCUCCGUACAAAUGCAUGGGACGACACACGGCCUCGCUCCGCAGGCAGGAGGUGGAAAAUGCAGGACAUACGCAACACGGCACGGGUGUAGCGUACCCAGUUACCCACGCACGCACGCAUCAUCUGCAUGUGUGUAUGUCGUACCCCGAUGAGCAAUAAAUAUAGCUUUGUCCUGUUUGCAGGGAGAAGCAGUCCCUUGAAGAGUCCGCCCGCAGUCAGCCCGUAGACACCCCGUUAGUGAGGGGUAGUUGGUUUGAGGCUUAGGAGUGCCUCUGGGUUUAAGCGUUCAAGCGUUUCAAGCGUUCAAGCGUUCUUUUUGAGGUUUAAAAAUUGCCGUCCCGCUGCCUAAGGCCGCGGGCGGGGCUCAUAUCAUGAAGGACACGAGGGCCGCCGUACAUUCUUGCGUGGAUAGUUGUGCGUUGGUUUAGUUGAAUUGAAUUGAAUUGAAUUGAACUGUUACAGGGUGGGAGGCUUCUGGGCCAUUCGAACACAUUGUCAUUACUACGAUGUAUCAUACCAUACCGCACCAUCCACCAUUACCACCACUGUACUACGCCAUAUGAACUGCAAGUCCAAGGCGGUUGAUCCUGCCUUCUAGGAUCCCUCCUCAACCGUCCACCCGGACAUCCGCAGAGACAGAGGGUUCAACUAUCGCCACCAAUCCAGCGUGCGAAUCACGAUUUAUCAACUGUGACCUCAACUCCACACCCCAGCAACUAGCCAUUCCCGAUGGGAUAACCUCAGGAAUCGAACAUAGGACCUUGAACUGUAUAAGACAGUACUAUCGACCAGACCAGACCAGGUUUAGUGUUUACUUGCUCCCAACAUGUGUAUGGGUAUCUGUGUGUGUUACAUCUUGGAGUCCAUUACUCUUCGCAGGUGUAACGCAUGGGCUCGUAUGAACCCUGAUGGGACCCAAGGGCUCCGGUUGCUUUCUCAAACGGCAACCCUAUCCGGUGCUUGUUUUCAGCCAUCUUAAUGCUAAUUUGGUUGCUUCCCAUCCGUGGGGAAAUCGUGUGGUACUUCGGGCAGCCUCUCGUGGUUCCAUGACGACGUGAACUGGUGUACAUAUUACGGCACACAUAUCGUCUAUAACUACGCGCUACAGGGCUACCCUACCAUCCAGAGAGAUUUUUUCAGCAGCCAGCUUUUACAGAGGACAAUAGAAGGACAUAGGCAUUUAUAUGCAAGGUCCCACCAAGUCCUAUGCCUCGGUAAUUGCCCAUGACAGAGCUCUCAUCCCUUGUUUGAACACGGGGUGUUAAUAACCUGGUGGCGAUGAACUGCUCGGGGAAGUCACCCGUUGCCCUGAUGUGCUCCAAAAGGGUGUGCGUGUAGGAUGAUAGGCACUAGCUGGUUUAUUUCUGUCCUAUCCUCUGCAGCAUCGGUGCUCAACACGAACCAACACCCCAACGGUAGAGAGCGAUGCCGUACGACAGGCACACGUCAUCCGGCAUGCCUCUCCACCAAUAACUCGUGAGCAAAAGCCAAAUGGUGCUCCGUACUCAAAAGUUCCCAGUUUCGUCUUGCGCUUGCUUGAUGAUCUCCAUCCUCUCAGGCACGUUCCGGGAAGGCAAUGUGGACAGGCAGGGCCCUCUCAGUCGCUUGGAGGGCUCCCGACCCACAGCGUUGAGCAGUAGGCCGCCCGUGGUAAGGGGGUUGGUUAGUUAGUAGUUCGUUUCUGAAGCGCCAAAAACGCUGCCGUGUGUGGCCCCU
rnacentral:lncRNA from 1 species